rnacentral:rRNA from 1 species
GACGAACGCUGGCGGCGUGCUUAACACAUGCAAGUCGAACGGAAAGGCCCCUUUCGGGGGGUACUCGAGUGGCGAACGGGUGAGUAACACGUAAGUAACCUGCCCCUCUCUUUGGGAUAACUUCAGGAAACUGGGGCUAAUACCGGAUAGGAGCUCCUGCUCCAUGGUGGGGGUUGGAAUGUUUCGGCGGUUGGGGGUGGACUCGCGGCUUAUCAGCUUGUUGGUGGGGUAGUGGCUUACCAAGGCUUUGACGGGUAGCCGGCCUGGGGGGGUGACCAGCCACAUUGGGACUGAGGUACGGCCCAGGCUCCUACGGGGGGGAGCAGGGGGGAAUAUUGCACAAUGGGUGGAAGCCUGAUGCAGCAACGCCGUGUGCGGGAUGACGGCCUUCGGGUUGUAAACCGCUUUCGCUCAUGACGAAGCUUUGUGUGACGGUAGUGGGUAAAGAAGCACCGGCUAACUACGUG